UAAAGGGCCCAUAUCAUGCAAAAUCCACUUUUUAGACAUUUUGGAGCGUUCCUAUGACUCUAUGGGUCACAUAUACACACACUGAGCACGGUAGAAAUGCAUUUCCUGCUUUUUUCACAUUUUGAAAACGUAAAUUUUCUUAUCCAAUGAAAACAGCCACGACCUACUCUGAGGCCGUUCCCCAGUUCUCGUCACACUGGUUGAAAGUUCUCCUUGCAAAUCCUGAACCACCACCCCCACAAUGAUCCCGAACCAAAACUGGACUUCCGCCAUUUCCCCCCUCUCACUCACCGUGAACAGACCAGCACGGCAGCGCCCAAGUCCUCCCAUAGAAAUAGUUCGGUUCUUGGGUGUUCUAACCAACACCAAAGUCUAUUAAUUUUACCAGGGAUCAACAAGUGAGGAUUUGUGGGUCACUUUUAUUUUUAACGGACCGGUGCCAGAAACACUGCCUCAGCAUUUAUACGUAUGUGCAUUUCAAACGAGGGUGCGUACAAUGCUGGAUUUGUUUCACGGCUCCUGUUGGAAAAAAAGGACCUAUUCCUAAAGUCCGUCAUCCACUCACUGAAGAGGGCAAAUCCCAGUUGCCCACAUGCAAGGAGGCUGUCAAACAGAGAAAUCACUGCAGACUGUUGGUACACAGACAUCUGCUGCCCAGCUCAGGAGUAAAGGUAUGUAAGUUUGUAUGUACCAACAGUAAGAUAGGUAAUAGAAGAUUUUAAUUGGUAUAUACUGUUUAGAUUUUAUAUUUGAAUUGUAACAACUGUUUAUCUGUUGUUUUAGCACAGACAGGCCUGUCCUCUUGUUUGGUUUAAUUUUUUGUCUGGUAUUGUGUGUUCUUACAUUAGAGAAGGUUUUGACCUACAUAAUAAUUAACAUUUCACUAAUCUACAAUUCUGAUUGCACUACCUUUUGUUUUGAUGAGGUGAUGGUGAGGACAGCCACAGCUUCCAUCUGGUAGAGGACUGCUUCCGCUCAGUCUUCCAAAUAGUGAUGAGAACAAGGAUCACCACAUCUCCCUGUUUACCCUACUUUCAUGCAUUUCGUCUGCAAGGCCCUGCAAAAGCUUCUCCUUCGUCCUCAAACCCCCAGACUUCUUAAUUAACUCAGUAACCUAUACAUUGCACAUUGGAGUGUGAAGGUAACAGUUUGUUCUAGCUUUGGCGUAGUGGUGUAUUUUUUUGGUUUACAAUAAAGUUGGCUUUAACUAUUA